GGACUGGUUAGCUCAGUGGUUUGAGUGUGGUGCUGAAAACAAUGACCGACACUGAGGUCACGGGUUCAAUUCCCGCUCGGUUCC
rfam:Apaloderma vittatum contig41797, whole genome shotgun sequence.